GGGGAGAUACCAGAGUGGCCAAAUGGGACGGACUGUAAAUCCGUUGCGCAAGCUUCGAAGGUUCGAAUCCUUCUCUCCCCA
rnacentral:tRNA from 2 species